AAUGAAUAAGGUGUAAAAGCAAAGGAUCUUCCUGCGUCUCAGAGAUCCUGGGAGGACAGACUGAUAAACAAACAGUCGGGAUCCACGCGCCUGGAGUUGAGCCGCAGGCUAGACCUUGCCGUAGCCGGCGUCUGCGCGGAACUGGGCAGGUGCUCAGCGCGCGUGCGCGUCCCGGGCUGUCUCUGGUCUCCCUGAAGCGCGCACUCGGUGGUGAUCCGUUGCUUUCCGCCUGGUGCCUGGAGCCAAGCCCAGAAGUCCCAUCUCUUGGAGGCUUGCGGUUGUUUUAUUCACAGUGUUACUGGCAGGCAGUCAUUUUCAUCUUCUGUAACCGGACUCGACUCAGGGAGCUUAAAGAGCCUGACCUCUCAAAACUGACUGACUGUUGCCCCCACCUGGAAGACAGUGAAAGCUAUUUAUUCAAAGUAUAAACUAUAAGCUUCCCCCUUUCCCGUGGCACCCCGCUCCCCCAAGUUCACUAAAAAAAUAAUUUACUUUUGAAUAUAUAAAUCUGGAAGUUUUGCACAGACGUUGUUUUGAGCGGUGUCAUUUCUCUCUUACCUCUGAUCCAAACACAUUUCAAAAUAAUAUGCAGAAAAUCAAGGUGUGUUAGUAGUUCAAGAUUUUAUACUGUGAAACGAUAACUUUCAACUAUAUGAAAACAUAUAAUAGUGCCCAAAGAGAAACUGAAAAAUGUCUCUGUCUCUGGUUAUCAAGAUAAUGUACAUUUAGCAUAUUUUGAGUUUAAUUGUCCGAUGUCAUGGAAUCACUGGAAUGUCCACGCUAAAUGGGGAAAAAUACAUAUGGACCCGAUUUUGAGACGAAAGGGGUGAUUUGUGGGUGUGUACUACACAUGGUAGACUUGCCUUUUUAGGAGGAAAACGUGGGUCUAAAAUGUAUUUUGUGUGAAAACAAAUGUUUUAUUCCACUUUUUGGAAGUUGGGGAGAGAUCAUUGGGAAAAAUCGGAGAUGCCACAGGGGGUGUGCUGUUUUCCCUCGUGUAUUAUGACACCUGCAUGAUGUCUCUGUAUUAACUGAUCUCCAGUGAAGCAUUUAUAUCUAUCAUAUGGGUGGAG
rnacentral:lncRNA from 1 species